GGAGAGGUGUCCGAGUGGUUUAUGGAGCUGGUCUUGAAAACCAGUGAUCCCGCAAGGGACCAAGAGUUCGAAUCUCUUCCUCUCCGCCA
rnacentral:tRNA from 4 species